GGGGAAUAUUGCACAAUGGGCGCAAGCCUGAUGCAGCGACGCCGCGUGGGGGAUGACGGCCUUCGGGUUGUAAACCUCUUUCAGUAGGGACGAAGCGCAAGUGACGGUACCUAUAGAAGAAGCACCGGCCAACUACGUGCCAGCAGCCGCGGUAAUACGUAGGGUGCGAGCGUUGUCCGGAAUUACUGGGCGUAAAGAGCUCGUAGGUGGUUUGUCGCGUUGUUCGUGAAAACUCACAGCUUAACUGUGGGCGUGCGGGCGAUACGGGCAGACUGGAGUACUGCAGGGGAGACUGGAAUUCCUGGUGUAGCGGUGGAAUGCGCAGAUAUCAGGAGGAACACCGGUGGCGAAGGCGGGUCUCUGGGCAGUAACUGACGCUGAGGAGCGAAAGCGUGGGGAGCGAAC
rnacentral:rRNA from 1 species